GUUGGAAUUUAUAAUCUUCCUUCUGAACUAACAGAGUGAGGCAGAGGAAGAUUUGAUACACACAGAAGAGGAGAGAGCAAUGUGAAGAUGGUGGCAGAGAUGGGACUGAUGAAGCCACCAGAAGCUGGAAGACAUAAGGAUCCGAUUCUCCCCUGGAGCAUCUGGAAGAAGCAAGGUCCUGUCAACAUUGUGCUUUUAGUCAUUGAAAUGAAUAUUGAACAGAAUCCUGUCCCCUAGCACUAGUAGAGAAUAAAGUUAUGUUGUUUUAAGCCACCAAUUUAUGAUGAUUUCUUAUGGCAGCCACGGGAUACUAAUUUACCUUCUCAGAUGAU
rnacentral:lncRNA from 1 species